AAACGCUGAGAAGUGACUGUGUUUGGCCUGUGUCAGCUAAAGGGGGCAUGAGGAUGGGAAAGUUAAAAACAAAAAACAACCACCGUGACACAGCUCAGGGGCAUAGGCCCACUGAGAGUGGGAUUUGAACCCAAGGUCACGCUCACUCUAACAGGCAGCAAAAGACACAGUUCGACAACGCGAAGCCAGCAUUAGGGCCGCUCAGCUAUGUCACAGAUUUGGAAUUGUCAGACACAGGAUGUGUGUGAAUGUGCACACCCACAUAUGUGUGUACGGAAAGAUGUGUUUAUUAUAAGGAACACUUAUUUAUGACAGUGAGUGUGCUCGCAUGGUUCAUCAUAAGCAGCUGGCUCGUGUGAUCCUGGAGCAAACGUCCUGAGAUCUGCAGUCAGCAAGCCGGAGACCCAGGAGACGGCGCUGUAGCUCCCACCUGAAGACAUCCGGCUCAGGACUCAGAGAGCCGAUGUUCCAGUUCCAGUCCAAGGCCUUGUUCUGAGAGAAAACAUUCAAAGGAAGGAUGAGUCAGGGGAAGAAAAGGGAUAAGGACUUUCUGUCACGAUAGGGAAGGCAGAGAUAGCUGUGUGAAUCCCCCGUUCUCAAAAAGAGAAAUCAGUAAAAAGCCAUCCCCCUAGCACACAGUUUUCGGAAGGGCCUGCUGCCUUUUUUAAGCCUCUGAGUUCUGGUUAAGCUGGUUCAGAAUGAAAGUAAUAAUGUUCUCCUGCCCUUGUUUUUCCUGUUCACAUCACUGAGGCCGCAGACCACACGCACACGGUACUGCACGCAUCCGACUCAGGCAGGCCUGGCCCCGGGGCUCCGCGUCCCCUUCCUGUUCCCCCUCACAGCAGACAGCGGCUCCUUCCAGCGCAGCUCUGCAGCUCAGCGAACGUUCCGUCACAUUUUCCUGAAAAAUAUAAGCAAUGUUCCAAUUUCGUUCAAAUGCCAGUGAGGCUGCCUUAAAUUCCUCCGGCCACGGCCCCCAGAAGCCUAGAGAGUCGGCCCCAAACGGAGAAAUGGACAACUCGUCAGAGCACUUGGUCCCGGGGGUCAGGAGUCCAGGCUCUUCCUCUGGUCCAGUGGCCAGCGAGGUGGUGGAGGAUGAAGAAUACGAGCUGAUUCUCUGGGACAGCUCCGCAGGAGCGCCGUCCCAGCGUCCUACCCAAGACAUGUCAGCAGAUCUGCGGGAGAAGGAAAAGAUCCCAAAGAGGCUGAGGCUCCUGCUGGUGGGGAAAAGUGGAAGUGGGAAAAGCGCCACAGGAAACAGCAUCCUGGGCAGGGAAGCCUUCAAAUCCAAGCUCAGCGCCAGACCUGUGACCGUGACCUUCCAGCAUGACUGCCGAGACUGGGCCGGGAAGGAGCUUGAGGUGACCGACACCCCCGAUAUUCUGUCUUCUCGGGUUUCACGGGAAGGGGCAGCUCAGGGCCCCUGGGCAGCUGUCGCCUGCUGCACCCCUGGGCCACAUGCAGUGCUGCUGGUGACACAGCUGGGCCGCUUCACAAAGGAGGACCAGGAGGUGGUCAGGCGCCUCCAGGAGGUCUUUGGGUUGGGUGUCCUGGCCUGCACGAUCCUGGUAUUCACUCACAAGGAGGACCUCGGGGGCAGCUCCCUGGACGAGUAUCUGCGGGACACCGACAACCAGGAGCUCGCAGACCUGGACGUGGUUUGUGCGAGGCGCCACUGUGGCUUCAACAACAGGGCAGAUCGUGCGGGGCUGGAGGCCCAGCUGACGGAGCUCAUGGAGACCAUCGAGGUGAUCCUGUGGGAACAUGAAGGCCGUCCUUACAGCAAGGAGGUGUUGCCAGCCCCGCAUUCUGUGCUGAGAAGGGCAGGUAAGGCAGAGGGUUCAGAGUGAGGCUCUGAGGAAGCAGCCACUGCAGAGUCCUGGCUGGACUGGCUGGACAGAAUCCAGGGCACCUGAGAAAAUCCGCAGACGUCUCCGAAAGGGGCACCAUCUGACUGUGUGCUGACUCCAGUGGGGACAGCCAUUUCCUGGGAGCCUCCCCAACCCUUUGUCCACCUCAGAGCCUGUCGCCUCUCUUUGCAUCCCAUGGCUCCCAGACCCCUUGGGUCUCCAGGGCAGAGUCUGCUGAGUCCCAGCUCCCAUCCCGGUCCUUCAUCUCGCUCUCGGAGCCCGUGUGCACCCUCCCUUCCCCCCUGCAGCCCGCUGUCUCACACGGACCGCACAGAACGAUGGCAUCACAUUUGUUGAAAUUCUUCUCUCUCCUCGAGUGAAACAAAGCUCCCUGAGGGCCGGGUCUCCUCACUCUUCCGUGUCACCCCCACUGCUUUCUGGUCACUGGAGUGACUCCUUACCAAUGACAGCAAAUCAGUGUGUGCCAUUGACCAGGGGACUGUCCAAUCUUGGGCUGUGUCCUCACCCACAGAGGGGGCAGCAUAAUGACUUGAAGGCACCUGAGUGUGUGGUGGGUCAGGACAGAGCCGUGGUUCUGUAGCAGGUGGGGAGGGGCAGCUGCUGGGUGGGGCAGGAGGAGCAAGGGGAAAGAGAGACUUGGCCCGAGGGGCAGCCCAUCCACUAACCCCUGAAGGCAGCCAUUGAACCACAGUAAAUGGGCCUUGUGGGGACUGCUGGUGGGAGUGAUGAGCCAAGUGGGGCUGAGGGGUCCAAAGAGCAGGGCCUGGUUGGGAUGGUGGCCUGAGACCUCCUAUAGGACAUGAGGCCCCAGGAGGUGCCAAGGGGCCUUGGAUAGAGGAAGAGACUUCCCUAAAGCAGACUAGAUUAGGGAUGCUAUGAUUAGGGUCCCUUUUCAUCAUAUCUGCCUCCUGAUGUUAGAAACUAAAGGUGGUUCUCCACCCUAUCUCAGCCUUACCUGCAACCCUUCUAUUCUUACUGGACAGUGGGGAGAGAGGGGGCAUGGGGUCAGUGUCUGGGUGUGUAGUGGGGUCCUCUGUGAGGUAUCUGUGGUGUCGGAUAGAGGGGUGCAGGGAAGAAAGGGAAGCUGCAAAGGGAGCAGCUGAGGCUGUGAGCACGAUAGGAAGCACCUGCCUGAUGGAUGGGGAGGACUCUGCACCCCACAGGGGGUCCUCCUGGAGGGCAGCUUCUGGGGACAAGGCCAUAGGAGGCGAGGUGGACUAGGACCAGAAGACACCAGGAUGGUGGUUGGCCCUGGCCUCUGACUGUGAUCCAAGGUAUCCAGUGCCCCAGGAUGCAGCAGGACAGUGUGCGUGUCAGGGGGACGACAUAGGGGAGCACCUGGGAUUGCCAUUCUUCUCUCACCUUUCCAAACCAAUUAUGCCUGGGAGAACACAGCAGGACCAACUGUGGUGCCAGGUGUAGGACAGAGGAUUCAGAACAGCUGGAUAGUCCACCUGCAGAUUUACCUUCUACCUGACCUUCCUAUGGAAACGUUUCCGUCUCAUCAAAGAC